GACGAACGCUGGCGGCGUGCUUAACACAUGCAAGUCGAACGAUGAAAGCUGGAGCUUGCUCCGGCUGGAUUAGUGGUGAACGGGUGAGUAACACGUGAGCAAUCUGCCCUUGACUCUGGGAUAACUCCGAGAAAUCGGUGCUAAUACCGGAUAUGACCCUUGGCGGCAUCGCUGGGGGUGGAAAGUUUUUCGGUCAAGGAUGAGCUCGCGGCCUAUCAGCUUGUUGGUGAGGUAAUGGCUCACCAAGGCGACGACGGGUAGCCGGCCUGAGAGGGUGACCGGCCACACUGGGACUGAGACACGGCCCAGACUCCUACGGGAGGCAGCAGUGGGGAAUAUUGCACAAUGGGCGCAAGCCUGAUGCAGCAACGCCGCGUGGGGGAUGACGGCCUUCGGGUUGUAAACCUCUUUUAGCAGGGAAGAAGCGAAAGUGACGGUACCUGCAGAAAAAGCACCGGCUAACUAUGUGCCAGCCGCCGCAGUAA
rnacentral:rRNA from 1 species